rnacentral:lncRNA from 1 species
AAAAAGAAAAGCAGUGCCGCAAUUCACAUAGACCCCCCCCCCCCUUUGGUCGUCUUCCUCAACACACCCCCUCCCCGUCUUCGUCUCCUUCACACACUCUGCCCCAAGUCACCGGACUCAACCCAACUCGCUGGAGUCCCUCCAUAACCACCAUAACAGACCAUCCUCUUCAAAGAACAAACCAUCUUCAACCUCAAAACACCCCCCUGAACUUCUACUUCUUCACUCUUGAACAUUCUUUUAAGUAGCCGAAGCCAUCAGCAAAGAACUCCAUUGACCUCAUAUCAGUAGCACUAAACACACACAUAGUCACACAUUGAAGCAACAGAGGCGCAAAUGCAGCGAACAAAAAUGGGAGCUGAAACAGUGAGGCGUCCCAAAGCGUUUAACAACAUUUUUCCCGCGAGUCUCGAGUUCUUUGGUUGAGUUUCGAUGACUGUUUCCAUUGGUUCUUUGUCGAGGUUCCAUUAGAGGUCGACGACAUUGGUUUCGCAUUCCAUUCACUUCGUAGACAAUUUGUUGUACAAAGUUCCCCUAUCAAUAUAAUCGGAAGGUUUUUGAGAAAGAAAGCUACCAUUGUCAUAUGCUUUGGUUUGAGAGGAGCUGUUGAUUUGGCACUCUCCUUAUCGGAUAAAGUAAGUUGUUUUCUGCUAAGUUUGCAAUUCAUAUGGCUUCAUGGAUCAUUUACUCUUGAAGUUUGGAUACAAAUGUGCACAAAAGAUACAUUAUUAUCUUUUCUUAAAAAUAAUUUUUACUUAGGUUACUGACAUGUCUCGAAAUGAUUUAGUAUAAAAUGUUUGUUGUUUUGAUUUUGUUUCUUAGUAUGAUAUGAGUCAGUAAUGAUUUUGAAUAUGGAAGACACCCAAUAAUUUCGCAGCUUUUGACCCUUUAUAAUCCCAAAUUUUAGGAAAUGAAUACACCGUAGCUUGCUUUAGGCGCGAUUAAUAAUAAAUAUCGUGACUAUGGUACGGUUCCCGUGACAUGGUCAUGAUACAUAAACUCGGAUGUGCAUUUAUGUGACCCAAAUCCAACUCUCAACAAUGUUAGAUAAAAUAUGUCGGGGACCGCGGGUACAUUUAUGUGACGUGGUUCAAGACGUGUUUUAAAUAACGUUGAAAUCCUCCUAAAAAAAUAAUUAAAUAAAAGCGGUUAUAAAGUUAAAAUUGCAUCAUAGGCUAAAACAUGUACUAAAAUCAAGUAAAUAGGCCGAUUAUAACAGUUGAGCGACCGUGCUAGAACCACGGAAUCCGGGAAUGCCAAACACCUUCUCCCGAGUUAACAAAAUUCCUUACCCGAAUUUCUGUGUUCGCGGACUGCAAUACAGAGUCAAUAUUUUCCUCGAUUUGGGAUUUGAACCGGUGACUUGGGACACCAUAAAAUUAUCCCAAGUGGCGACUCUGAAUUUUUUUAAAAUAAAAUAAUCUCGUUUCGAUUGUCACUUAAAUUAGAAAAACUCUGUUAUACCCUUGUGGGGGUAGGAAAAAGGAGGUGUGACAAAUUGUUUAUUCAUGUUUCUUUGAUUAUAUAAUAUGUGGUGAAUUUUAAUCACGAUAGAAUCCAUUCUAGGGCUAUGACUUGUUGAUUUGGACAUGACAGACUUCUUUCACUGUGUUGAGCUAUCUAAUUUAGCCAUAGUCAUACAAUUGCCUUACUUAACUUAUGAAUAAUUGGCUAUUGGCUUACUUUGCUCUUGUUAAUGUCAUGAUCAAACUUAAGAAUGUUAAAUAAGCAAACUGAACAAUUAUAAAAGUUGAAAUACGUCAUUAGAAAUAACCAUCUCUUAAAUAUGUAAAUAUUCAUCCGAUUUUAUUAUUAUGUCCUGGUAUGUCAUUAUCAUAUUAUUUCAUAUCCAUAUUUCUGAGUUGGAAAAUUGAAUAUUGUGAAAAGAUCAGAUUUUUGGCACUAAGGACCUUUUGAGCAGAUAUUGAUUAUUGAUGAUAUUGUGAUUGGAUCGGGUUGAACGCUACAAUAUUACUAUUAGUGGAUCAGGUUGCAUGCCAUUAUAGCGCUUGGAUAUGGAUCAAAUCCUCUGGAGUCGGGUGAUUACCUAAGUUACAUUGGGCCCUAUGAGCGCAGUCACUCAGAAUGGUGCUAGUUUGGACACUUGGCUAGUGCCGGAUAUAUCGAUUUGUGAAAUAAGAUAUUCAUAUUGGUUUGUGAGCAUGAAUUAGUAUCCUAGACUUGUGCAAUGACUCUUAUUUAUAUAUGAAUGUUGACU